UAGCUCAGUUGGUAGAGCAGUUGACUUUUAAUCAAUUGGUCGCAGGUUCGAAUCCUGCACGACCCACCAAUCCUCAGCUGAGGGCGGGUAGUAAGCGUGAAGGAUAACGUUGCGUCAGCAAUGGCCCGUAGGGCGAGGCAAAGCCGAGUCAUCCUGCACGACGCACCA
rnacentral:sRNA from 1 species